rnacentral:lncRNA from 1 species
AUCGCAAUUGAUAUGCUUCCCACUUGUCGUCCCCUUCUUCAAAGAUGGGAGUCCCAGCAUGCAUCACCAUGGCUGUUGCCUUACCGCUGGGUUGAUCGGCUUGUUACCACUGGACUGCCGACGAAGUGCCGAUAGCAAGAAUUAACGAAAGGUUUAUGCAGUUGACCAUUUAAGAAGCCGCCACGGCGUGAGGCUGAUCGAGGGCUGCACCAGCGUCCUGUCAGUGGUGCCGAAAGCCGGCGCGCAAUUAAUUGCUCAUUAGCGAUUGGAUCAGGCUGCCGGCUGGAUGUUUGGUGCCACUCGG